GUGAAUUACUCUUUGACUGACCUGAAAAUGCACCGGGACCACUCCUCAGGUCUCCCUGCGAUUCAGUCACCAGUCACAGCUCUGCUGGGACCGCACACUGUCCCCCACACAUGCCGCCCUUGACUGUUGUGACAAAGAGCUUCCAAGAGCAUCAGCAUAACAACAGCAUGCAGAGGCUGCAGGGGAUCUGAAACUAUCAGUGGGGCAGUUGGAAGCACGUCUCUACACAUGGUUUUCCAGGGUGGUAUCUUUGCAGCACGCAGAAAUCCUCUUCUGAAGAGUCCUUUGCUGUAUUCCCCCGUGCCUCCCCACCCCCACCCUCCCACCCCCGCUAAUGGGCAUGUUUCCGUGAACACUGAAGACGAAAAACAUGCGAUUUUGAAUGUGUCUCUUUCACGGUCACACAUUUCUUUUUAUUGUGCAUCUUGGCUGAGCCACGCUUUAAAAUUCCCAGCAACCGUUCCCAAGUCAGUUUUCAAAGAGUCUUGCACCUUUGACCCAAUAAAAACCAGAGAGAACUGGACGAAGACUUGUGGCAUGUC
rnacentral:lncRNA from 1 species